AGGGCACCAUCAGGAGUGGAGCCUGCGGCUUAAUUUGACUCAACACGGGAAAACUCACCCGGCCCGGACACUGGAAGGAUUGACAGAUUGAGAGCUCUUUCUUGAUUCAGUGGGUGGUGGUGCAUGGCCGUUCUUAGUUGGUGGAGUGAUUUGUCUGGUUAAUUCCGAUAACGAACGAGACUCUAGCCUACUAAAUAGAUCGUCGGCUUACAAACGCCGGCGAGACUUCUUAGAGGGACAGGCGGUGAUUCAACCGCACGAAACAGAGCAAUAACAGGUCUGUGAUGCCCUUAGAUGUCCGGGGCCGCACGCGCGCUACACUGAAGUGAUCAGCGUGCUUUUUCAACCUACUCUGUCAAGAGUGGGGAACCCAAUGAACCUUCUUCGUGAUUGGGAUAGGGGAUUGUAAUUAUUCCCCUUGAACGAGGAAUUCCCAGUAAGCGCGAGUCAUAAGCUCGCGUUGAUUACGUCCCUGCCCUUUGUACACACCGCCCGUCGCUACUACCGAUUGAAUGUUUU
rnacentral:rRNA from 1 species